AACGGAUGUUUUCGUUAAACACCAAAGAAGAAGAAGAAGAAGAAGCGACGCGAAGCGAAGCAGAGCAGCGCGAGACUGUCCAUAGUUCUCCCAGGAUUUGCACAUUAAAUUAUCAAAACGUCGUACGCAAUGAGAGGAGACCGUGGCAGGGGCCGGGGCGGCCGCUUCGGGUCCCGUGGAGGACUGAUCCAGGGGUACCGUCCAUUUGUCCCACACAUCCCAUUUGAUUUUUAUGUGUGUGAGAUGGCCUUCCCCAGAGUGAAGCCUGCUCCCGACGAAACGGCUUUCAGUGAGUGUCUGCUGAAGAGAAACCAGGACCUGAGCCCCACCCCAGCAGAGCA